GAACGCUGGCGGCGUGCCUAAUACAUGCAAGUCGAGCGAACAGACGAGGAGCUUGCUCCUCUGACGUUAGCGGCGGACGGGUGAGUAACACGUGGAUAACCUACCUAUAAGACUGGGAUAACUUCGGGAAACCGGAGCUAAUACCGGAUAAUAUAUUGAACCGCAUGGUUCAAUAGUGAAAGACGGUUUUGCUGUCACUUAUAGAUGGAUCCGCGCCGCAUUAGCUAGUUGGUAAGGUAACGGCUUACCAAGGCAACGAUGCGUAGCCGACCUGAGAGGGUGAUCGGCCACACUGGAACUGAGACACGGUCCAGACUCCUACGGGAGGCAGCAGUAGGGAAUCUUCCGCAAUGGGCGAAAGCCUGACGGAGCAACGCCGCGUGAGUGAUGAAGGUCUUCGGAUCGUAAAACUCUGUUAUUAGGGAAGAACAAAUGUGUAAGUAACUAUGCACGCCUUGACGGUACCUAAUCAGAAAGCCACGGCUAACUACGUG
rnacentral:rRNA from 1 species